GGGGACUGCGGAGGGAUCAUUGCUGGAACGCGCCCCAGGCGCACCCAGAAACCCUUUGUGAACUUAUACCUUACUGUUGCCUCGGCGCUAGCUGGUCCUCCGGGGCCCCUCACCCCCGGGUGUUGAGACAGCCCGCCGGCGGCCAACCCAACUCUUGUUUUUACACUGAAACUCUGAGCACAAAACAUAAAUGAAUCAAAACUUUCAACAACGGAUCUCUUGGUUCUGGCAUCGAUGAAGAACGCAGCGAAAUGCGAUAAGUAAUGUGAAUUGCAGAAUUCAGUGAAUCAUCGAAUCUUUGAACGCACAUUGCGCCCUCUGGUAUUCCGGAGGGCAUGCCUGUUCGAGCGUCAUUUCAACCCUCAAGCCUGGCUUGGUGAUGGGGCACUGCUUCUUACCCGAGAAGCAGGCCCUGAAAUUCAGUGGCGAGCUCGCCAGGACCCCGAGCGCAGUAGUUAAACCCUCGCUCUGGAAGGCCCUGGCGGUGCCCUGCCGUUAAACCCCCAACUUCUGAAAAUUUGACCUCGGAUCAGGUAGGAAUACCCGCUGAACUUAAGCAUAUCAA
rnacentral:rRNA from 1 species